rnacentral:lncRNA from 1 species
AAAGUUUCAUCCUUGUCUCCUUCUCUGCACCCUUUUAUAGGAACAUCAUCCAAAAAAAGCAUAGUCUUCUCUAGAAUAAAAUCUCUCAAUACCUUAUUCAUCCCAUUCAUCAUAUGCGCAACUGAGUUGGUCGCGCCUUGAGGAAGAGUGCACAUUCUAACCAAUCCAAGUGGUGUCCUCAUCGUCGUCAUAUCUCUACUUCCUUCG